rnacentral:lncRNA from 10 species
AGAAGACGAAAGUGAGUGCAAAGCAAGUAGAAUCACAGGAAUGGUCUUUUCAGUAGGUUUUGAGGAUUUCUGAAGUCCGAGACAUAAAGGGAAUGUGCAGGAAGGAAAGGAGAUGGUCAUAAACGAAGUAAAGGAAAUUGAAAUAAGAGGGCUGUGUUUUUUAGUAAUGGCAAAUUAGGGUAGUUGAGACAGGUGGAAGACAAAAUCUUUUUUUUUUUCCUUUUUUUGGAGACGGAGUCUCAUUUUGUCAUCCAAGCUGGAGUGCAGAGGCGUGAUCUAGGCUCACUGCAACCUCUCGGAUUCAAGGGAUUUUCCUGUCUCAGCCUCUCAGAAGAGAACAUCUUCAUAGGAGAGGAGCUCUAGGAACUGAGAAUGCAGGAAAUUGGAAGAAAUAUACAUUAAUAGCCAAGAAUUUAGACAGGACUGGGGAGCCAGGAACAAACAUUUGAGAUGUUGGGCUUUUAAUGGAGUUGCCACGGAUGACAGCAUCAUGAGAAAUGAGGUUUAAAAAUGGAGGAUUGUUCGAGGAGGGAGGAGGGCUGAUCUGAAAGCCACAAGGAGGACAAAUGGAACACCUACCCCCACUACAGGCUGGAAGGAGUUUCUCUUGAAGAAGGAACAUUUAAGCUGAAACCCUAAGGAGCCACCCAAGAAGACUUAAGUUGAGAAAGGGGAAAGCAAGCAAAAUAUCAGAAGACUGAGAAUGGGGCCAGAAGUAAGGCGAAGAGUGAGGCAGCAGAAGACUAGCAGGUGAGAAUCAUCCUGACA